rnacentral:rRNA from 1 species
AUUGAACGCUGGCGGCAGGCCUAACACAUGCAAGUCGAACGAGUGGCGGACGGGUGAGUAAUGUCUGGGAAACUGCCUGAUGGAGUGGGAUAACUACUGGAAACGGUAGCUAAUACCGCAUACCAUCGGAUGUUCACAGAUGUGCUUAGCUAUUAGGUGGGUUAAAGGCUAACCUAGGCGACGAUCCCUAGCUGUUCUUAGAGGAUGACCAGCCACACUGGAACUGAGACACGGUCCAGACUCCUACGGGAGGCAGCAGUGGGGAAUAUUGCACAAUGGGCGCAAGCCUGAUGCAGCCAUGCCGCGUGUAUGAAGAAGGCCUUCGGGUUGUAAAGUACUUUCAGCGGGGAGGCGUUACCAGCAGAAGAAGCACCGGCUAACUCCGUGCCAGCAGCCGCGGUAAUUC